rnacentral:rRNA from 1 species
UACGGAGGGUGCGAGCGUUAUUCGGAAUUACUGGGCGUAAAGAGCGCGUAGGCGGUUUAGUAAGUCUGAUGUGAAAUCCCGGGACUCAAUCUCGGACGUGCAUUGGAUACUGCUAGACUAGAGUAUUGGAGGGGAGAACGGAAUUCCUGGUGUAGAGGUGAAAUUCGUAGAUAUCAGGAGGAACAACGGUAGCGAAGGCGGUUCUCUGGACAAUAACUGACGCUGAGGCGCGAAAGCGUGGGUAGCAAACGGG